GCCCAGCCAUAAACUUUGAUGAUAACACACAAAUGUCAUCCGCCAGGGGACUACAAGCGCAUUGCUUAAAACCCAACGGACUUGGCGGUGCCCCACACCCCCCUAGAGGAGCCUGUUCUAUAACUGACAAUCCCCGUUAAACCUCACCAUUCCUAGCAUACUCAGUCUAUAUACCACCGUCGCAAGCUCACCCUGUGAAGGAUAAAACAGCAAGCAAGAUGGGCAAGCCCCAAAACGUCAGGUCGAGGUGUAGCAUAUGGAAUGGAAAGAAAUGGGCUACAUUUUUUGCACUACAAAAAACACGAACAGACACUAUGAAAACGGUGCUCGAAGGAGGAUUUAGCAGUAAAAAGAAAAUAGAGAGUUCUUUUGAAGCCGGCCCUGGGGCGCGC
rnacentral:rRNA from 1 species